rnacentral:rRNA from 1 species
GAUGAACGCUGGCGGCGUGCUUAACACAUGCAAGUCGAACGGAAAGGCUCCUGCUUGCAGGGGUACUCGAGUGGCGAACGGGUGAGUAACACGUGGGUGAUCUGCCCUUCACUUCGGGAUAAGCCUGGGAAACUGGGUCUAAUACCGGAUAGGACGAUGUUUUGGAUGCCAUUGUGGAAAGUUUUUUCGGUGUGGGAUGAGCUCGCGGCCUAUCAGCUUGUUGGUGGGGUAAUGGCCUACCAAGGCGUCGACGGGUAGCCGGCCUGAGAGGGUGUACGGCCACAUUGGGACUGAGAUACGGCCCAGACUCCUACGGGAGGCAGCAGUGGGGAAUAUUGCACAAUGGGCGCAAGCCUGAUGCAGCGACGCCGCGUGGGGGAUGACGGCCUUCGGGUUGUAAACUCCUUUCGCUAGGGACGAAGCGCAAGUGACGGUACCUGGAGAAGAAGCACCGGCUAACUACGUG